AUUUGAAAUCUGGUAGCCUUCGGUUGCCCGAGUUGUAAUCUAGAGAAGUGUUUUCCGCGUUGGCCCAUGUACAAGUCCCUUGGAACAGGGCGUCAUAGAGGGUGAGAAUCCCGUCCUUGACAUGGACCCCCAAUGCUUUGUGAUACACUUUCAACGAGUCGAGUUGUUUGGGAAUGCAGCUCAAAAUGGGUGGUGAAUUCCAUCUAAAGCUAAAUAUUGGCGAGAGACCGAUAGCGAACAAGUACCGUGAGGGAAAGAUGAAAAGCACUUUGGAAAGAGAGUUAAACAGUACGUGAAAUUGUUGAAAGGGAAACGAUUGAAGUCAGUCAUGCUCUUUGGAUUAAGCCGUUCUGCGGUGUAUUUCAUUGAGCGGGGUCAACAUCAGUUUUGAUCGCUGGAAAAGGGCAGGAGGAAGGUAGCACUCUCGGGUGAACUUAUAGCCUCUUGUCGUAUACAGUGAUUGGGACUGAGGAACGCAGCAUGCCUUUUGGCCGGGAUUCGUCCACGUACAUGCUUAGGAUGUUGACAUAAUGGCUUUAAACGACCCGUCUUG
rnacentral:rRNA from 1 species